GGUGUUUAGCUGUUUGCAUGCCAAAUACGAGCUUACUGACAUCCUAGGCUCAAAAUUCAUACCCCUCAUCCGAUUCUUUUACUUUACAUGCCGAAUCACAUGCUCAAAGAAAUCCUCAAAUGCGAAGACUUGGAACGUGAAGGUAUGGCCGAGCCUAUCAGGGUGGUAAAUUUGGAGACAUCCCACAGUGGAUUUCUUUGAGCUUGUGGUUCGACAUGUAUGGGAAUCUCAUCUUGGAUGAGGGGAUAAAUUUUGAGCCUAAAGGGGAUGAAUUUUGAGCCUAGGCGGGCAGUUCGCAUC
rnacentral:pre_miRNA from 1 species